rnacentral:rRNA from 1 species
UACAGAGGUCCCGAGCGUUGUUCGGAUUCACUGGGCGUAAAGGGUGCGUAGGUGGCGGUGGAAGUUUGAUGUGAAAGCUCAGGGCUUAACCCUGAAAUGGCAUUGAAUACUCCAUUGCUGGAGGUUUGGAGGGGGGGACUGGAAUUCUUGGUGUAGCAGUGAAAUGCGUAGAUAUCAAGAGGAACACCAGUGGCGAAGGCGAGUCCCUGGACAACACCUGACACUGAGGCACGAAAGCUAGGGGAGCAAACAGG